rnacentral:rRNA from 1 species
ACGCUGGCGGCGUGCCUAAUACAUGCAAGUAGAACGCUGAAGGAGGAGCUUGCUUCUCCGGAUGAGUUGCGAACGGGUGAGUAACGCGUAGGUAACCUGCCUGGUAGCGGGGGAUAACUAUUGGAAACGAUAGCUAAUACCGCAUAAGAGUAGAUGUUGCAUGACAUUUGCUUAAAAGGUGCAAUUGCAUCACUACCAGAUGGACCUGCGUUGUAUUAGCUAGUUGGUGGGGUAACGGCUCACCAAGGCGACGAUACAUAGCCGACCUGAGAGGGUGAUCGGCCACACUGGGGCUGAGACACGGCCCAGACUCCUACGGGAGGCAGCAGUAGGGAAUCUUCGGCAAUGGACGGAAGUCUGACCGAGCAACGCCGCGUGAGUGAAGAAGGUUUUCGGUUCGUAAAGCUCUGUUGUAAGAGAAGAACGAGUGUGAGAGUGGAAAGUUCACACUGUGACGGUAUCUUACCAGAAAGGGACGGCUAACUACGUGCCAGCAGCCGCGGUAAUACGUAGGUCCCGAGCGUUGUCCGGAUUUAUUGGGCGUAAAGCGAGCGCAGGCGGUUAGAUAAGUCUGAAGUUAAAGGCUGUGGCUUAACCAUAGUACGCUUUGGAAACUGUUUAACUUGAGUGCAAGAGGGGAGAGUGGAAUUCCAUGUGUAGCGGUGAAAUGCGUAGAUAUAUGGAGGAACACCGGUGGCGAAAGCGGCUCUCUGGCUUGUAACUGACGCUGAGGCUCGAAAGCGUGGGGAGCAAACAGGAUUAGAUACCCUGGUAGUCCACGCCGUAAACGAUGAGUGCUAGGUGUUAGACCCUUUCCGGGGUUUAGUGCCGCAGCUAACGCAUUAAGCACUCCGCCUGGGGAGUACGACCGCAAGGUUGAAACUCAAAGGAAUUGACGGGGGCCCGCA